rnacentral:tRNA from 1 species
GCGGGAGUAGCUCAGCGGUAGAGCAUCUGCCUUCCAAGCAGAGGGUCGCCGGUUCGAACCCGGUCUCCCGCUCCA